AGUGAACGCUGGCGGUAGGCCUAACACAUGCAAGUCGAACGGCAGCACAGUAAGAGCUUGCUCUUACGGGUGGCGAGUGGCGGACGGGUGAGGAAUACAUCGGAAUCUACUUUUUCGUGGGGGAUAACGUAGGGAAACUUACGCUAAUACCACAUACGACCUACGGGUGAAAGCAGGGGAUCUUCGGACCUUGCGCGAUUGAAUGAGCCGAUGUCGGAUUAGCUAGUUGGCGGGGUAAAGGCCCACCAAGGCGACGAUCCGUAGCUGGUCUGAGAGGAUGAUCAGCCACACUGGAACUGAGACACGGUCCAGACUCCUACGGGAGGCAGCAGUGGGGAAUAUUGGACAAUGGGCGCAAGCCUGAUCCAGCCAUACCGCGUGGGUGAAGAAGGCCUUCGGGUUGUAAAGCCCUUUUGUUGGGAAAGAAAGGCAGCAGGUUAAUACCCCGCUGUUCUGACGGUACCCAAAGAAUAAGCACCGGCUAACUUCGUG
rnacentral:rRNA from 1 species